GAUGAAGAACGUAGCGAAAUGCGAUAAGUAAUGUGAAUUUCAGAAUUCAGUGAAUCAUCGAAUCUUUGAACGCACCUUGCGCUCCUUGGUAUUCCGAGGAGCAUGCCUGUUUGAGUGUCAUUAAGUUCUCAACUAUUAUCAGCUUUAGCUGAUAAUGGCUUGGAUAUGGGGGUUUAUUUUGCUGGCUUCUUCACAGAUUGUCAGCUCCCCUUAAAUGCAUUAGCCGGUGCCCCGCGUGGACUGUCUAUUGGUGUGAUAAUUAUCUACGCCGUGGACAUCUACAAUCAUAUGGGUUUGCACUGCUUCCAACCGUCUGUUUAUUCAGACAAUACAUGACAAUUUGACCUCAAAUCAGGUAGGACUACCCGCUGAACUUAAGCAUAUCAAUAAGCGGAGGA
rnacentral:misc_RNA from 1 species